CCUACGGGGGGCAGCAGUGAGGAAUAUUGGUCAAUGGGCGAGAGCCUGAACCAGCCAAGUCGCGUGAGGGAGUACUGCCCUAUGGGUUGUAAACCUCUUUUGUCGGGGAGCAAAAGCCGGACGUGUCCGGCUGUGAGAGUACCCGAAGAAAAAGCAUCGGCUAACUCCGUGCCAGCAGCCGCGGUAAUACGGAGGAUGCGAGCGUUAUCCGGAUUUAUUGGGUUUAAAGGGUGCGCAGGCGGAUUUUUAAGUUAGCGGUAAAAUCGUGGGGCUCAACCCCAUCCAGCCGUUGAAACUGGGGAUCUAGAGUGUGCGAGAGGUAUGCGGAAUGCGUGGUGUAGCGGUGAAAUGCAUAGAUAUCACGCAGAACCCCGAUUGCGAAGGCAGCAUACCGGUGCACAACUGACGCUCAGGCACGAAAGCGUGGGUAUCGAACAGGAUUAGAUACCCCUGUAGUC
rnacentral:rRNA from 1 species